GACUGAGCGAGGAGCAGGCAGCUGUGGUGCUGAGAUAGGAGCUUGAAAUGCUUCAUGGUGCCAAGACUGUCAUAAACGGCUCCUGAGGUCUGAAAAAACGACAGCAGGAUUCAGCGUUCCUCUGACAACCACUCAGAAAAUAGAAUGUGAAGAAGAAGGAGGAAGGGAAGAUGCGGGGCCAGCCAUCAGAAUGCUCCCUGUGGCUCCAUGGAUGCCUAGAAAUGCUGGUCACUUAAAGGGCACAGGUUACAGAAUGUCAGAUGACUGAAGUAAAAGAGGAAGUAACAUUGCUCAGAGAUGGAGAUUUGUGGCUUCUCUCUUUGGAAAGAUGAGAAAGGGACUAGAAAAUCCUCCGGAUGGGCCUUCAAAGGUCAAUUACAGGUGAAAGGAGGCUCAAAGGUAAAAUUGGAUCAUGCACAAAAUUGUGCAACUCAACUGGCAGUGCUUGACAUUUUUGGCCUAAUUUAAGGGAAACAGUCUACUCUUUGCUACAUGGUUGUCUGUCUGCUAACCAGGCCUGACACUAUAGCUGCACAAAGUGAUGAGAUGCCAAAUAAUAAGAAAUCCAGUAAGUCUUCUUGCUACCCUUCCUACUGUCACGCUAUUCAAGAAAUUUGUUAAGCACCUACUAUAAGUUAGUCACUAUCUUGGGUGCAGGGAAUACAUAAAUGAAUGUCUAAGCUCACGGCCCCAAGAAGAGAGGUAAGAAAAUAGAUACAGGCUGUAAAUUCUAUUACAGAGAUACUAUAUUAAUCAGGAAGGUUGGAAUAUGCUGCAAUAAACAGCCCCAGUGUUUUAUUGGCUAACCAAAGGAAAGCUUAUUUCUUGCUCACACAUAAUCAGAGCUCUGUGGGUCUAGGCAUUUUUCCAUGACAACUGUUCUUCAUGUGGCACCUUGGCAAACCAAGACACUGGAACUUCCACUGUGCUGAAGCUUCAGGGAACAUGUGUCCUCGGUUGAUGUGAGAGGCAGGGAAAGAAGGGUGGAAAAUCACCUACAUUUCUUAAAUUCUGUAGCCUGCAAGUGAUGCUAAUUAUUUCCACUCAUAUAUCACUGGCCAAAGUAAGUCACAUAGCCUGCCUAACUUCAAACUAAUGGAAAAAUACACUCUUUAAUGUGCUGGGAAGGAGAGGGGAUUUCAAUAAGGUGGUGAUUAUUAGAGAUGUCUACCAUAUAGGCAUAAUGCUCGGUUGAGGAGAGCACAAAGGAGCAAGAAUCUGAGAGUGUGUGAUCAAGAGAGGUUAGGGGGCAGUUUCUUGAAAGAAGCAGCAUCUUUAAGAAUAAAGAGGAGCUGCCUUUUGAAGAAGGGAGGAAGUAAAUUCCAGGCAGAUGGAACCACAUGCACUCAGGUAUGAGUAUAUUGGGAUAAUUAUCAGUUGUUGACAUCUGCAGAGAGAAGGGUUGACAGAGGAAUGUCUGUGCAUAUAGCCAGCACAUAGACCAUCAAGUGCCCCUUUAAACAGUGGAAUAAUGGAAUAGAAGCAGGGUUUGCAGCAAUUUCUAUACAAGAAUAUAAGGGAUUUUGACACCAUUCUUACUUAGUAUGAGAACAAUAACUCAAGGAGUUCUUAAGCAGAUUAGGACCAGAGAAAUAGUUUCCCAACUUGAAGAAACUUAACAGAAGUUAAAGGAGCAUUUGAAGAAAGGGCUCAUCCGUAAUAUAAUUCUCA
rnacentral:lncRNA from 10 species